CACAAGAUAUAAAAAAAAACCUCAGGUUAUUUCCACAGUACUUGUCUGAACUGAUGGAGAUGGCCUGGUACUGUUCCCAAAAGUAUAAGUGUGACCUUGUAAUGGAGGCACUGGACAGAAAUAAUUGAUUAAAGCGACUUAGCCCAAAGUCUGAAUCUUUUCCCUCCUAUUUUUGUUUCCUCUUGCUCCCCCGUUCCUCCAGCCUGACUCAGGAAUGGUAAAGAGGUUUAUAUAUAGAUUUUCACAUGGCUUCCUUUCAUAUCUUUUCAGCUAACUUCCCACUGGACUAUCUACAAAUAUUAAAAGAUAUUUGAAAUUAUCCAACCCCAGUGGUGCUUGAAAUUGAGUCAUGUUCUGUUGUGUCAACAAAAUGUUCCAAGUGGUGAUUGUAGAGACCGAAAUAAAGGCUGCUAGCAAUAAUGCUUCCCACAGUGCUGACAUACUAAGAAGAGGAGAAGGCUCAUCUUCUGAUAGCGCAGCUUAAGUGAAAGACAUGAAGCAUUAAGACUGAAUUGAGGUUAUUUUGCGAUCAUCCGAUUCCCUGCUAGAAGUUGCUGUGAGAUAUCAUCGCCCUGAACAACUUCACACAGAAUGGUCUGAAAGGUUUUUAUUUGGUGAUGGCAUGUUCAAGAACUUGGAUCAAUACAUUGUAUUUAAUGUUAGGAGAUGUUUUUUAGUUUUCAUAUUUAUAAAAGUGACUUUCAAUCUA